UACGUAGGGUGCAAGCGUUGUCCGGAAUUAUUGGGCGUAAAGAGCUCGUAGGCGGUCUGUUGCGUCGGCUGUGAAAACCCGGGGCUCAACUCCGGGCCUGCAGCCGAUACGGGCAGACUAGAGUUCGGCAGGGGAGACUGGAAUUCCUGGUGUAGCGGUGAAAUGCGCAGAUAUCAGGAGGAACACCGGUGGCGAAGGCGGGUCUCUGGGCCGAUACUGACGUGAGGAGCGAAAGCGUUGGGGAGCGAACAGG
rnacentral:rRNA from 1 species